AACUAGUUAGCAGUCAGAGAGGUUGGAAUAGUUUGGACAGCUCAGAAUGAGACAGGAAGAUGAGAGAAUAUUUGGAACUUCCCAGAAACUUGCUGAAUGGCUGUGACCAAAAUAUUGAUAGUGAUAUGGACAGUAAAGUCCAGGCUAAGGUGGUCUCAGAUGGAGAUGUGGAACUAUUUGGGAACUGGAGAAAAGAUCACUC